rnacentral:lncRNA from 1 species
AUGGCAAGACAGCCAAUGGGCAACAUGGCGCCUUUCAGGGACGCUGGUUCUGACGUGGCUCCCUCUGAGAUCAUCAGAAUAAGAAGCCUCAGCGAUAACUACAACCUACAUGAGUGCGGCCAUCUUGGAGGCGGGGCCGGCCCGUUGGAACCGGGCUCUGGUGUCAGGUCAGGGAUCAGAGAGCAGAGGUCAGGCACAGUUCAAGAAGCUGCCUGGAGCAGCGGAUGGGGGCCAGGUUGCUGGGCCGGCAGCAUGCACGAAUGAAGAAACCAUG